CGGAGCAUGGCGGAUAAAUUCAGCACAGAUUAACCCGUGCUGGAAAGGAAGUCGGGCACAGACACAAAAUAAAACAUCCGGCUUCUUUUCAAAAUAAAACACUCCGUGUUUCAGGAGGAUCGUAUUUCACACCAUGCAAAUGGGCGGAGACGAACAAGUGAAAGGUUUUUAGACGUCAUUUCACCCCGAUGACACCAUGGAUGAGGAGAUGCUGAUUCUAGAAGUCUAGAAGUAGAUUUCCUCCUCUGGAAGGACACAAUCUACUGC